rnacentral:rRNA from 1 species
UUCUUAGCUGCCGACAGCAUAGUCUUACUACUAAAUUCUUUUUUUUUUUUUAUACUAGAAAUUUGAUUUCAUUGCUGAGUGGCAUAACUAUAAAAAAGUUAAAACUUUCAACAACGGAUCUCUUGGCUCUAGCAUCGAUGAAGAACGCAGCGAAAUGCGAUAAGUAAUGUGAAUUGCAGAAUUCAGUGAAUCAUCGAAUCUUUGAACGCACAUUGCGCCUGGCAGUAUUCUGCCAGGCAUGCCUGUCCGAGCGUCAUUU